rnacentral:tRNA from 1 species
GCGCUGGUGAUCUAGUGGCUAUGAUAGGGCCUUGCCAAGGCUCUUACCCGGGUUCAAAUCCCGGCCAGCGCA